rnacentral:tRNA from 1 species
UGUUAAAAGGUGUAAGAGGCACAGGAGAUUUUGAUUUUCAAGGGCAAAGUUUAAUUCUUAGUUUAGCAA